CCCACACCAAACAGACCUACAAUUAACUGAUGAAACUGUACUAAAUUAUUGCAAGGCAUUAAUGAAGUAUGCCAGGUCUGUUCAUUCACAGGUCCAAGAAGCCUUACCUCAAACACCGGAUGUUCCCCGUCACAACCUUGAACCAGGAGAUUGGGUCUAUGUAAAGGUCACCAAACGUGGACUCACGCCUCACACUGCAAGAAGGUAUCACCUCCAUUGGACCCUGAAGCAGCUGAAUUCCAACCAAGGUUGGGACCUUUCCCUGAGGCCAAGGACAAAGACCCUCAGGACCUCACUCAGGCAAGUGAGGAGCAUCAGGGUGCAAGUGCUAGUAACCUCUCCCCUGAACCCAACACCUCAGCCCAGCUGGAUUCAUCAGUU